rnacentral:misc_RNA from 1 species
ACAAGCAAGAAACAACACAGCAUCCGCUACAUGCUUCACCUUCAUCACACCUUUCAACCAAUAACUCGAUUCAAAAGCCUUCUCCGCCUCAUCCAUUCCCAUCCCCAUCAUAUUAGACAGCAGAGGCGUCGCCACCGGCCCCGGCGACACGCAGUUCACUCUUAUCCCAUGCUCACCCAGCUGCAUACUCGCCGACCUCGCCAACCCCAACAACGCACACUUGGACAUCGCAUAAUCCGUGGCCCUGUCUCCGCCUGUCCUCGCCGCAAUGCUCGCUGUGCAUAUGAUGCUACCCUUUACUCCUCCCUCCACCAUCGCCCGCGCUGCGUGCUUUAG